rnacentral:rRNA from 1 species
CAGCAGCCACGGUAAUACGAAGGGGGCUAGCGUUGCUCGGAAUUACUGGGCGUAAAGGGAGCGUAGGCGGAUCGUUAAGUUGGGGGUGAAAGCCCGGGGCUCAACCUCGGAACUGCCUUCAAUACUGGCGAUCUUGAGUAUGAGAGAGGUGUGUGGAACUCCGAGUGUAGAGGUGAAAUUCGUAGAUAUUCGGAAGAACACCAGUGGCGAAGGCGACACACUGGCUCAUUACUGACGCUGAGGCUCGAAAGCGUGGGGAGCAAACAGGAUUAGAUACCCCCGUAGUCCCUGUCUCUUAUAC